rnacentral:rRNA from 1 species
UAGCGUAGGGGGCAAGCGUUGUCCGGAAUCGAUUGGGCGUAAAGAGCGUGUAGGCGGCCCCGAAUAAGUCCGCUGUGAAAGUCCCAGGGCUCAACCCCUGGAAUGCCGGUGGGAUACUGUCGGGCUCGAAUCCGGAAGAGGUGAGUGGAAUUCCUGGUGUAGCGGUGAAAUGCGCAGAUAUCAGGAGGAACACCAAUGGCGAAGGCAGCUCACUGGGGACGGUAUUGACGACUGAGACGCGAAAGCGUGGGGAGCAAACAGG